GCCGGUCUGCGGGUGGCGCCACCAGGUGCCGUUGGCGGUGCACUCCUUGUGCGCGAGUACUAUGGCAGAGAGGACAGCGAGUUCGAUACUGACCUGCGGGCGGCGCGGUGCUGUUGUUGGCGCGCGCGCAGGCCGCCUCGUGCUCCUCGCGCCGCGGGUCCUCCAUGGCGCUCCUCCGCCUCACUGCAUCUUCAACUCCUGCGCAGCGCGACGGAUCU